ensembl:lncRNA
GCUUUGGUCAAAUGUAGUGCACCAAAUAGGGGAAUAGGAAUAGGGAAUAAGGGAAUAGGGAAUAAGGGAAUAGUGUGAGGGAACAAGGGAAUAAGAAAUAAGGGAAUAGGGAAUAAGGGAAUAGUGUGAGGGAAUAAGGGAAUAAUGUGAGGGAAUAAAGGAAUAUUGUGAGGGAAUAAGGGAAUAGUGUGAGGGAAUAAGGGAAUAGUGUGAGGGAAUAAGGGAAUAGUUUGAGGGAAUAAAGGAAUAUUGUGAGGGAAUAAGGGAAUAGUGUGAGGGAAUAAGGGAAUAGGGAAUAAGGGAAUAGGGAAUAAGGGAAUAGUAUGAGGGAAUAAGGGAAUAGGGAAUAAGGGAAUAGUGUGAGGGAAUAAGGGAAUAGUGUGAGGGAAUAAGGGAAUAGGGAAUAAGGGAAUAGGAAUAGGGAAUAAGGGAAUAGUGUAAGGGAAUAAGGGAAUAGGGAAUAAGGGAAUAAGGGAAUCAUGGAAUAGGGAAUAAGGGAAUAGUGUAAGGGAAUAAGGGAAUAGUGUAAGGGAAUAAGGGAAUAGGGAAUAAGGGAAUAAGGGAAUAGUGUGCCGUUUCAGUCUUUAUCCUGUCCAGUCUUCUAGAGGUUCCGUAGCAGCCAGGUGGGAGCAGAGACUCCUGCCUGAGUAAAGUAGUUCCACCACCAUGGCUUCUCCUGUCCCUCUGCUCCCAUCCCCGGUUCUCCUCCCAUCCCCGGUUCCCUGGGUUCCCUGGGUUCCCUCGGUUCU